rnacentral:rRNA from 1 species
GACGAACGCUGGCGGCGUGCUUAACACAUGCAAGUCGAACGGAAAGGCCCUGCUAGUGUGGGGUGCUCGAGUGGCGAACGGGUGAGUAACAGGUGAGUAACCUGCCCUUGACUUUGGGAUAACUUCAGGAAACUGGGGUUAAUACCGGAUAGGAGCUCCUGUUGCAUGGUGGGGGUUGGAAAGUUUCUGCGGUUGGGGAUGGAUGCGCGGCUUAUGAGCUUGUUGGUGGGGUAGUGGCUUACCAAGGCUUUGACUGGUAGCCCGCCUGAGAGGGUGACCGGCGACAUUGGGCCUGCGAUACGGCGCAGUCUCCUACGUGAGACAGCAGUGGGGAAUAUUGCACAAUGGGCCGACGCCUGAUGCAGCAACGCCGCGUGCGGGAUGACGGCCUGCGGGUUGUAAACCGCUUUCGCCUGUGACGAAGCGUGAGUGACGGUAAUGGGUAAAGAAGCACCGGCUAACUACGUG